CAGCCGCCGCGGUAAUACGUAGGUGGCAAGCGUUGUCCGGAAUUAUUGGGCGUAAAGGGAGCGUAGGCGGAUCGUUUAGUCAGGGGUGAAAUCCCGGGGCUCAACCUCGGAACUGCCUUUGAUACUGGCGAUCUUGAGUAUGGGAGAGGUGUGUGGAACUCCGAGUGUAGAGGUGAAAUUCGUAGAUAUUCGGAAGAACACCAGUGGCGAAGGCGACACACUGGCCCAUUACUGACGCUGAGGCUCGAAAGCGUGGGGAGCAAACAGGAUUAGAUACCCCCGUAGUCCCUGUCUCUUAUAC
rnacentral:rRNA from 1 species